ACCGGCGCACGGGUGCGUAACGCGUAUGCACCUACCUAUUGCAGGGGAAUAGCCCAGGGAAACUUGGAUUAAUGCCCCAUAGCAUAGCAUUUGUAAAGAUUUAUCGGCAAUAGAUGGGCAUGCGUCCCAUUAGCUAGUUGGUAUGGUAACGGCAUACCAAGGCUACGAUGGGUAGGGGCCCUGAGAGGGGGAUCCCCCACACUGGUACUGAGACACGGACCAGACUCCUACGGGAGGCAGCAGUGAGGAAUAUUGGACAAUGGGCGGGAGCCUGAUCCAGCCAUGCCGCGUGCAGGAAGACUGCCUAUGGGUUGUAAACUGCUUUUUUACGGGAAGAAACACCCCCACGUGUGGGGGCUUGACGGUACCGUACGAAUAAGGACCGGCUAACUCCGUGCCAGCAGCCGCGGUAAUACGGAGGGUCCGAGCGUUAUCCGGAAUCAUUGGGUUUAAAGGGUCCGUAGGCGGGCGUCUAAGUCAGUGGUGAAAUUCUGCAGCUCAACUGUAGGACUGCCAUUGAUACUGGUCGCCUUGAAUUAGUGUGAAGUGGCUAGAAUAUGUAGUGUAGCGGUGAAUGCUUAGAUAUUACAUAGAUACCGAUUGCGAAGGCAGGUCACUAACACUAUAUGACGCUGAUGACGAAGCCGUGAGAAGCGACCAGGUUUAGAUACCCUGGUAGUUCACGGCCG
rnacentral:rRNA from 1 species